rnacentral:rRNA from 1 species
AAGACGAGAAGACCCUGCCGAGCUUAAUUAGGUUUGGUAGGAUUGGAGAGUUGUUAUUAGGUUGAAUGGUAGUUGGGGAGAGCUGAGCUUUAGAGAAUAGGUUCUAAAAGACAAGGAUCCUCUUUAGAGAGAAAAUAGGUAGAAGCUACCGCAGGGAUAACAGCGUAAUUUUUCUUGAGAGAUCUUAUUGAGGGAAAAGUUUGCGACCUCGAUGUUG